AAGAGCCUCAACAUCGUCUUGGGUUUUGAGAGGUAAAACCACCCCUUCAAGGAAUUAUGCAACUAAAUCAAUUUUUCUACUUCAGCAAGGCAUUUAACAUCUUGCUAUGAACCAUUGCUUUUUAUUGAAACAACAGUUACUGGAAAUCAUGACUGGAAAUCUACCAUUCUUUAUAGUGUGUGUCUGACAAGGUGAUUAGCAACACAGGGGCACCACAGGGGACUGUCCUCUCCCCCUUCCUCUUCACCCUCUACACCACAGACUUCAGCCACUGCACAGAGACCUGCCAUCUUCAGAAGUUUUCUGAUGACUCUGCGGUGGUUGGAUGCAUCAGCAGGGAUGAUGAGACAGAGUACCGGGCUGUGGUCGACUCCUUUGUCACGUGGUGUGAGCAGAAUCAUCUGCAGCUCAACGUGGCAAAGACCAAGGAACUGAUCGUGGACUUCAGGAAGACCAGGAAACACUUGACCCCUGUUUCAAUCCAGGGGGUCAGUGUUGACAUUGUGGAGGACUAUAAAUACCUUGGAGUACACGUUGACAAUAAACUGGACUGGGCUAAAAACACCACAGCACUUUACAGGAAGGGCCAGAGUCGUCUCUAUUUUUUGAGGCGACUGAGGUCCUUCAACAUCUGUCAGAAAAUGCUGAGGAUUUUCUAUGAGUCUGUUGUGGCCAGUGCGAUCCUCUAUGCUGUUGCAUGCUGGGGGAGCAGGCUGAGGGUCGCAGAUGCCAACAGACUUAAUAAACUGAUCCGUAAGGCCAGCAAUGUUGUGGGGAUGGAGCUGGACUCCCUCAAGGUGGUGUCGGAGAGGCGGAUGCUGUCCAAGAUAAAGA
ensembl:lncRNA